UACGAAGGGGGCUAGCGUUGCUCGGAAUCACUGGGCGUAAAGCGCACGUAGGCGGAUCCUUAAGUCGGGGGUGAAAUCCUGGAGCUCAACUCCAGAACUGCCUUCGAUACUGAGGAUCUCGAGUCCGGGAGAGGUGAGUGGAACUGCGAGUGUAGAGGUGAAAUUCGUAGAUAUUCGCAAGAACACCAGUGGCGAAAGGCGGCUCACUGGCCCGAUACUGACGCUGAGGCACGAAAGCGUGGGGAGCAAACAGG
rnacentral:rRNA from 1 species